UACAGAGGUGCCGAGCGUUAGGCGGAAUCACUGGGCUUAAAGCGUGUGUAGGCGGAUGCCUAAGUACCUUGUGAAAUCCCACGGCUUAACCGUGGAACUGCUCGGUAUACUGGGUGUCUUGAGCCACUUAGGGGUUACCGGAACAAAUGGUGGAGCGGUGAAAUGCGUAGAUAUCAUUUGGAACGCCAAUGGUGAAAACAGGUAACUGGGAGUGUGCUGACGCUGAGGCGCGAAAGCCAGGGGAGCAAACGGG
rnacentral:rRNA from 1 species